AGCAGCCGCGGUAAUUCCAGCUCCAAUAGCGUAUAUUAAAGUUGUUGCGGUUAAAAAGCUCGUAGUUGAAUUUCGGGGUCAGUAGGUUGGUCAUGCCACUGGUAUGUACUGGUCUCACUGAUUCCUCCUUCCUGAUGAACUGUAAUGCCAUUAAUUUGGUGUUGCAGGGAAUCAGGACUGUUACUUUGAAAAAUUAGAGUGUUUAAAGCAGGCUCGCGCUUGAAUACAUUAGCAUGGAAUAAUGAAAUAGGACGUUUGAUUCUAUUUUGUUGGUUUCUAGGAUCGACGUAAUGAUUAAUAGGGAUAGUUGGGGGCAUUAGUAUUCAAUUGUCAGAGGUGAAAUUCUUGGAUUUAUUGAAGACUAACUACUGCGAAAGCAUUUGCCAAGGAUGUUUUCAUUAAUCAAGAACGAAAGUUAGGGGAUCGAAGACGAUCAGAUACCGUCGUAGUCUUAACCAUAAACUAUGCCGACUAGGGAUCGGAUGAUGUUAAUUUUUAAUGACUCU
rnacentral:rRNA from 1 species